rnacentral:miRNA from 1 species
UAGUGUUGAGAAGAUUGAGGA